GCUUACGGCCAUACCACCCUGAGCACGCACGAUCUCGUCUGAUCUCGGAAGCUAAGCAGGGUCGGGCCUGGUUAGUACUUGGAUGGGAGACCGCCUGGGAAUACCAGGUGCUGUAAGCU
ensembl:rRNA 5S_rRNA 5S ribosomal RNA